rnacentral:rRNA from 1 species
GGUUCAGGAUGAACGCUGGCGGCGUGCCUAACACAUGCAAGUCGAGCGAUUCUCUUCGGAGAAGAGCGGCGGACGGGUGAGUAACGCGUGGGUAACCUGCCCUGUACACACGGAUAACAUACCGAAAGGUAUGCUAAUACGGGAUAAUAUGUUUUGAUCGCAUGGUCGAAAUAUCAAAGCUCCGGCGGUACAGGAUGGACCCGCGUCUGAUUAGCUAGUUGGUGAGGUAAUGGCUCACCAAGGCGACGAUCAGUAGCCGACCUGAGAGGGUGAUCGGCCACAUUGGAACUGAGACACGGUCCAAACUCCUACGGGAGGCAGCAGUGGGGAAUAUUGCACAAUGGGCGAAAGCCUGAUGCCAGCAACGCCGCGUGAGCGAUGAAGGCCUUCGGGUCGUAAAGCUCUGUCCUCAAGGAAGAUAAUGACGGUACUUGAGGAGGAAGCCCCGGCUAACUACGUGCCAGCCGCCGC